rnacentral:rRNA from 1 species
GCGGCGGGCCUAACACAUGCAAGUCGAACGCACUAGCAAUAGUGAGUGGCGCACGGGUGCGUAACACGUGGGUAAUCAACCCUUCAGCCUGGGAUAACGACUCGAAAGGGUCGCUAAUACCGGAUACGGCGCGAGAGGCUUCGGCUUCUCACGAGAAAGCCACGCAAGGGGCACUGAAGGACGAGCCUGCGGCCCAUCAGCUAGUUGGUGAGGUAAGAGCUCACCAAGGCUAAGACGGGUAGCGGGUCUGAGAGGAUGAUCAGCCACACUGGAACUGAGACACGGUCCAGACUCCUACGGGAGGCAGCAGUGGGGAAUAUUGCGCAAUGGGCGAAAGCCUGACGCAGCCACGCCGCGUGAGCGAUGAAGGCCUUCGGGUCGUAAAGCUCUGUGGGGAGAGACGAAGAAAGCCUGUGAAGAGCAGGCCUUGACGGUAUCUCCUUAGCAAGCACCGGCUAACUCCGUG